rnacentral:lncRNA from 1 species
AAAAGGAUCUGGAUUCUUCUAUGAAUGGGGAAGGCUCUACUUCUAAUUAAAAAAAAAAAAGCAUUAUUUUUUGUAGAAUGGAAUCAGUUCCAGAGGUGAACUAGAGCUGGCUAAAUCAACUCAAAUGCUAAUUUUUUAGGAAAUUUGUGAAGUAGAUAAUGCCAAUUUUGUACCUACAAGUUGACCAUCACAGUAGUAUUUAUAUCACAGAAAUUGGCAAAUGACACAAAUCAGCCUUUCUCUUCCCAUAGGGCUAGUUUUUAAACACUUUGUAGUACAACACUGCAAGUGUCCCUCUGGUUCUUCCUAUUUUAUUCCUACUUAUAAACCCAGGAAAGGACAUAGAAAGACAGAGGGAAGCUACCAGGGCAGACUUUGGGCUGGUUUCAGUUUCCUGGCUGCAUUUUUCCCUGUCACAAAUUGCCAUAAAUUCAAAGUUAAUCAGACCCCAUAUCCCUAGUAACAAAUAAAUUUCAGUAUCAUUUUUUUUUUCCUAAGAUGGAACCCGAGCAGCAUCACAUGGCUUGCUGUGUGGGUUGGACUGUCCCGUCAUACAUGCCACUAGGCCUCGGCAUCCUCAUCACUGCCAACCUCCUUGGGUGUAGAUACAGGUGUAGGAGGCCAGUGAGAGGGUUACCAUUAAAGUCUGUGCUUAGGACUUGGUGCAUAGGGUCUCCAUAAACAGGAGUUCUGAUCAUGUUGUGUUUUUACUAAGUAUUCAGAGGUACUCAGAAGGCUCUGGUAAAGCACUAGUUCAUGGGGACCUCUUUGGUGAGGUCUGAAGCCCCAGAACAGCCAUCUUACAUGGUUUCCCCCAUAAUGUAUGUCUGUCUCACUCUUUGUCUGUCUCUGUCUGAUCUAGCUACCUCAAACUAGGCCUGUUCUUCACAACAUGGCCACACAUUAUAAUUACUUGGGGAGCUUUUCAGAAAUAGUGGAUUCCUGGCUGUACUCCAAAAGACUGAUUCUAUUGGACUGGAUUUCAGCCCAAACAUCGGUCUGUUUUAGAAGCUCCCCAUGUAAUUCUGUGUGCCGCAAAUGUUAAGAACUUUAAGAUCCUCUUAUUAAUUCUCUCUGAGUCUCAGUUGGCUCACAUGCUCAUAAUCUGGAAGUCCCUGGACCCUAACAGCUCACAUAAAUAUAAAAAAUGUGCCUUUACUAACAGACACUUUGUGACAAAAAUCUUCCACUUGCUCAGAUUAGUGGGUACCCUCCCCCUAUGGCUUAUUGUUAGAAGCCAUUUCACAAAAUGCCAAAGAAUAUUCCCUGGUGUUCUGC